rnacentral:rRNA from 1 species
CCUACGGGAGGCUGCAGUGGGGAAUAUUGGACAAUGGGCGAAAGCCUGAUCCAGCAAUGCCGCGUGUGUGAAGAAGGCCUUCGGGUUGUAAAGCACUUUCAGUGGGGAAGAAAGCCUUGGGGCUAAUACCCUCGAGGAAGGACAUCACCCACAGAAGAAGCACAGGCUAACUCCGUGCCAGCAGCCGCGGUAAUACGGAGGGUGCGAGCGUUAAUCGGAAUUACUGGGCGUAAAGCGCGCGUAGGCGGUCUGAUAAGCCGGUUGUGAAAGCCCCGGGCUCAACCUGGGAACGGCAUCCGGAACUGUCAGGCUAGAGUGCAGGAGAGGAAGGUAGAAUUCCCGGUGUAGCGGUGAAAUGCGUAGAGAUCGGGAGGAAUACCAGUGGCGAAGGCGGCCUUCUGGACUGACACUGACGCUGAGGUGCGAAAGCGUGGGUAGCAAACAGGAUUAGAUACCCUAGUAGUC